rnacentral:rRNA from 1 species
GAUGAACGCUGGCGGCGUGCCUAAUACAUGCAAGUAGAACGCUGAAGGAAGGAGCUUGCUCUUUCCGGAUGAGUUGCGAACGGGUGAGUAACGCGUAGGUAACCUGCCUGGUAGCGGGGGAUAACUAUUGGAAACGAUAGCUAAUACCGCAUAACAGUAGAUGUUGCAUGAUAUCUACUUAAAAGGUGCAAUUGCACCACUACCAGAUGGACCUGCGCUGUAUUAGCUAGUUGGUGAGGUAACGGCUCACCAAGGCGACGAUACAUAGCCGACCUGAGAGGGUGAUCGGCCACACUGGGACUGAGACACGGCCCAGACUCCUACGGGAGGCAGCAGUAGGGAAUCUUCGGCAAUGGACGGAAGUCUGACCGAGCAACGCCGCGUGAGUGAAGAAGGGUUUCGGAUCGUAAAGCUCUGUUGUAAGAGAAGAACGAGUGUGAGAGUGGAAAGUUCACACUGUGACGGUAUCUUACCAGAAAGGGACGGCUAACUACGUG